CUUGUCCUUUCAGAAGAUCAGAGACAAGUGAUAUCUGUGCCAAUUUGGCCUUUUCAGUGUUAUAAUUAUGGUGUCUUGGGAUCCCAAUAUUUCUCCUAAUGUUUCCCUGAUGUGAUACUUUGAGAGCCCAGGAUGCCAGUACAAUAAUUGAAAUUCACAAAUGUCUGGUAUCUUGUCCCUCGUGCCCCAUAUAUUAUCUGUGGUUUCGGAGAGCUCACUUGUCUCUUAUCUUCAGAAAUGACAGCACAUGAAAUGUUGUUUGGAGCCACUGUCACAUCAACUGUAGAAAAAUUAACAGGUCAGCUAAGGGAUAUAAUGUAACUUUAUUUGUGAUAUGAGAGAAAUCUUGAUAAAGACUUGAGAGAAAACUGGGAGGAACCUUGUUUAGAAGUUAUAAGGAGGGGUAAGUUAUGUGUGUCUUGGAAGGAGAAUCAUAAAUCUUAAAACAUGAGCCUAAUAGAGAACAUAAAAUUCUAAAAGAUAAAGAUAAUAAUAAUGAUAAGCCGCAGGGUGGCUUAUGAUAAUGUGACUUCUCCUUACCCCAGUAGCGUCGGACAUCUGUCAGCUCUGAAAUGAUAAAAAUGCACAAUAUUGAAUACAAACAAAGGAGUCAGCACUGAAAUUCAUUUUCUCUCCAGAUUAGGGAAAGAGUAGGUAUGCCCUAUGGUAGGGCAGUAAAUUGCUGAAUGAUGAGAUGAAACAGCCACCUAGCCAUUUCCCAUUAAAUAUAAUCCCAUCAGCAGCAGACAAUAUCUAUCCUCCCCUAUCCCCUCUAUCCAUAUUUGGAAACUGCACCCUCUUCCCUAUUUAGCACCCUAACACCACUUGAAUUCCAUAACCCUGUUGUUGAUCUAGCUCUCCUCACCUCUAAACACUUCUAGCAUUCCUUUCAGAUCAGGAGCUCGAAACACUCUCCUUUGAUUUUUUGGAAAAGUUUCUGGCUUCUUCAAGGUCACGUUCUCCGUCCUAAGAAUUAAAAAAAAAAAAAAAAACUUCCAAACCUUUGACCUUGUGUCCGUGGAACACCCCUGACUUCCUAUCAUUUCAACCCAUUGAGGCACUUGAACUCUCUUCUUGGGGAUCCUGAGAAGGGAGAGUGCAAACUCUUGACCCUGGAGGCAAACAAAAUGUUCUCAUGUUUGCCUUCCCACUUACUUUCUGUGAGAACGUGGGAAGAUCUUAACCUCUCAGAAGCACAGUUUCUUCCUUCUAAAAUGAAAUAAUUAACCUCUCCCUGUCUACAUUCUUAAACUCAUAGGACAUAA
rnacentral:lncRNA from 10 species